rnacentral:rRNA from 1 species
UACGUAGGUGGCAAGCGUUGUCCGGAUUUACUGGGCGUAAAGAGCGCGCAGGCGGUCGUUCAAGUCGCGUGUGAAAGCCCCCCGGCUCAACUGGGGGAGGGUCACGCGAUACUGAUCGACUCGAAGGCAGGAGAGGGUAGUGGAAUUCCCGGUGUAGUGGUGAAAUGCGUAGAUAUCGGGGAGGAACACCAGUGGCGAAGGCGACUACCUGGCCUGUUCUUGACGCUGAGGCGCGAAAGCUAGGGGAGCAAACGGG